UCCCCUGUGGCCCGGUUGGAUUGGGCAGCCGCCUUCCACGCGGGCGGUCGCGAGUUCGAUUCUCGCCGGGGGCA
rnacentral:tRNA from 1 species